rnacentral:lncRNA from 1 species
CGCCACCGGUAUGGGGUCCUACGGGGUCCUGGGGGGGGGGUUAUGGGGUCGUUAUGGGGUCCUAUGGGGUCUUUAUGGGGUCCUGGGGGGUCUUUAUGGGGUCCUUAUGGGGUCACAGAUCUGCGCCUUCUGGACCCGCUUCCUGCCCAAGCUGCUCAACGCCACCGGUAUGGGGUCCUACGGGGUCCUGGGGGGGGGCUUAUGGGGUCUUUAUGGGGUCCUGGGGGGUCCUCAUGGGGUCCUAUGGGGUCCUAUGGGGUCUUUAUGGGGUCGUAUGGGGUCCUCAUGAAGUCCUAUGGGGUGUUUAUGGGGUCCUGGGGGGUCCUUCUGGGGUCCUUCUGGGGUCCUUCUGGGGUCAGGUGUUUCUUACAGGGUCCUUACGGGGUCCUGGGGGGUCUUAUGGGGUCAGGGGAAGGUUUAUAGGAUCCUUAUGGGGUCCUUCUGGGAUCAGGGGGUCCCUAUGGGGUCUUUAUGGGGUCCUUAUGUGGCCCUUAUGGGGUCAGGGAGGCUUUAUAGGGUCCUUCUGGGGUCCUUCUGGGGUCAGGUGUUUUUUACAGGGUUCUUAUCAGGUCCUGGGGGGUCUUUAUGGGGUCCUUAUGGGGUCAGGUGUUUUUUACAGGGUCCUUACGGGGUCCUGGGGGGUCUUUAUGGGGUCAGGUGAAGGUUUAUAGGAUCCUUAUGGGGUCCUUCUGGGAUCAGGUGCUUUUACAGGGUCCUUACGGGGUCCUGGGGGGUCUUAUGGGGUCAGGGGAAGGUUUAUAGGAUCCUUAUGGGGUCCUUCUGGGGUCAGGUGCUUUUACAGGGUCCUUACGGGGUCCUGGGGGGUCUUAUGGGGUCUUAUGGGGUCAGGGGAAGGUUUAUAGGGUACUUAUGGGGUCCUUAUGGGAUCAGGAGGACCCUAUGGGGUCCUUAUGGGCUCAGGUGUUUUUUACUGGGUCCUUACGGGGUCCUAGGGGGUCUUAUGGGGUCUUAUGGGGUCAGGGGAAGGUUUAUAGGAUCCUUAUGGGGUCCUUCUGGGGUCAGGUGUUUUUUACAGGGUCCUUACGGGGUCCUGGGGGGGUCUAAUGGGGUCUUACGGGGUCAGGGGGAGGUUUAUAGGAUCCUUAUGGGGUCCUUCUGGGAUCAGGUGCUUUUACAGGGUCCUUACGGGGUCCUGGGGGGGUCUUAUGGGGUCUUACGGGGUCAGGGGAAGGUUUAUAGGGUCCUUAUGGGGUCCUUCUGGGAUCAGGGGGUCCCUAUGGGGUCCUUAUGGGGUCCUUAUGGGGUCAGGGAGGCUUUAUAGGGUCCUUCUGGGGUCCUUCUGGGGUCAGGUGUUUUUUACAGGGUUCUUAUGAGGUCCUGUGGGGUCUUUAUGGGGUCCUUAUGGGGUC